rnacentral:rRNA from 1 species
GAUGAACGCUGGCGGCGUGCCUAACACAUGCAAGUCGAACGGAGCUGCUUUGAUGAAGUUUUCGGAUGGAUUUAAAACAGCUUAGUGGCGGACGGGUGAGUAACGACUGGGUAACCUGGCUCACACUGGGGGAUAACAGUUAGAAAUAGCUGCUAAUACCGCAUAAGCGCACAGUUCAGCAUGGAAAAGUGUGAAAAACUCCGGUGGUGUGAGAUGGACCCGCGUCUGAUUAGCCAGUUGGCGGGGUAACGGCCCACCAAAGCGACGAGCAGUAGCCGGCCUGAGAGGGUGAACGGCCACAUUGGGACUGAGACACGGCCCAAACUCCUACGGGAGGCAGCAGUGGGGAAUAUUGCACAAUGGGGGAAACCCUGAUGCAGCGACGCCGCGUGAGUGAAGAAGUAUUUCGGUAUGUAAAGCUCUAUCAGCAGGGAAGAAAGUGACGGUACCUGAAUAAGAAGCCCCGGCUAACUACGUGCCAGCCGCCGCGGUAA